rnacentral:rRNA from 1 species
AGAGUUUGAUCAUGGCUCAGGGUGAACGCUGGCGGUAUGCCUAAGACAUGCAAGUCGCACGGACUGUUUCGGCAGUUAGUGGCGGACGGGUGAGUAACACGUAGGUGACCUACCCCAAAGUCUGGGACAACUAGGAGAAAUCUUAGCUAAUCCUGGAUGUGAACCUCAGCUGUGGCUGAUGUUUAAAGCUUCGGCGCUUUGGGAUGGGCCUGCGGCGCAUCAGGUAGUUGGUGGGGUAACGGCCCACCAAGCCGACGACGCGUAGCUGGUCUGAGAGGACGACCAGCCACAGGGGCACUGAGACACGGACCCCACUCCUACGGGAGGCAGCAGUUAGGAAUCUUCCGCAAUGGGCGAAAGCCUGACGGAGCGAUACCGCUUGAAGGACGAAGCCCUUCGGGGUGUAAACUUCUGAACUCGGGACGAUAAUGACGGUACCGAGGUAAUAGCACCGGCUAACUCCGUGCCAGCAGCCGCGGUAAUACGGAGGGUGCGAGCGUUACCCGGAUUUACUGGGUGUAAAGGGCGUGUAGGCGGUCUCUCAAGUCCGAUGCUAAAGACCGAAGCUCA